UACGGAGGAUGCAAGCGUUAUCCGGAAUGAUUGGGCGUAAAGCGUCCGCAGGUGGCAAUGUAAGUCCGCUGUCAAAGCGUCUGGCUCAACCAGAUAAAGGCAGUGGAAACUACAUAGCUAGAGUAAGGUAGGGGUAGAGGGAAUUCCUGGUGUAGCGGUGAAAUGCGUAGAGAUCAGGAAGAACACCGGUGGCGAAAGCGCUCUGCUGGACCUUAACUGACACUGAGGGACGAAAGCUAGGGGAGCGAAUGGG
rnacentral:rRNA from 1 species